CGGCCCAGUCAGUGCGCACUGGCCGGGCGCUAGAAGUGGGACACGGAGCAGCGGCGCCCGGACCGGUCAGCUUUGCACUGGCCGCCGAGAUGCUCCAGACCUUGUAUGACUACUUCUGGUGGGAACGACUAUGGCUGCCUGUGAACUUAACCUGGGCUGAUCUAGAAGACAAAGAUGGACGUGUCUAUGCCAAAGCCUCAGACCUCUACAUCACACUACCCCUGGCCCUGCUCUUUCUCAUCAUUCGAUACUUCUUUGAGCUGUGAGCAUGCCUUCAAACCUUCCCUGAUUGCCAGCUAACCUAUCAGGCUUCAUGUUGAUCUCUUGGUACUUAGUUCUAAACAUUGGUGUUCUGGUCACCCAGGUCCCUACCCAUGCUCCCCC
rnacentral:lncRNA from 1 species